GUGUUAAUGGCCCAGAUCCCCAGUUCGUGAGUCAACGGGAUUAAUUUUGCUUUACGCUGGAGAAAGAACCCCGAGGACAAUUUUUCUCUGGGCUGUGAGCAGGGAGGGCCCUGCCCAGAUCUGUGGCAAUGGGAUCCAUUAGCAGUUCCGUGUGUGUGUGUGUGCGAGCGCGCACGUGUGUUUUAGCCUUUGAAAAAAGUAAAAAGCUGCUCUACCUUGUGAUUCUUGCUGCGCUCUUGUCUCCAAAGAUGAGCCAGAACUAAGCUGUUCCCACUGAGCUGCUAAAGAGAUCCGGAGGUUAGAAAGGUGCCACGUGACAGGAGCAAGCCAAAGCCAUAGCGGGUCGGGUAAACGCUACCAGAGGGUAUUAGCUGUACAUGGUGAGGGAAACAGCCUUCAACUGGGGUCUAUAGGAGAGGACUAAAUGGAGGUUUUGCCACAGAUUUAACGUCUCUGAUUUGCUUCUGUGAGAGAAACUUCACCAUAAGAUUCUGUUCUGCCCGGGUUCCUGUAUUGCACCCAUCAUUGUUGUGGCUUUCGCCCCUGAAGGUCUGGGAACAAUAUAUUUAACCAUGAAUGCUUCAGAACUCUUGAUUUGGACAGCAACAGGAUUACUCUCUUUGAGUGCGGUGCUGGGUGACUCGGUCCGGUCCCAUGAACCCGAGGUGUCCAGGUCAGAAGGUGGCUCCGUGACCCUCACCUGUUCUUAUGAAACUAGCUACACUGCUAGUGUCUAUCUCUACUGGUACCGUCAGUAUCCGAACCGAGCCCCGCAGUACAUCCUCCUGAGGGGAGCAAAAGGGAGCACGUUCAGUGAUACCGCAGGUUUCGCCAAGAAGAGGUUUUCUUCACAGGCUGAUGACAGCGCCACAGUUCUGAACAUCACAGCCCUGGAGCUGGCAGACACAGCGGUGUAUCUCUGCGCCCUGAGUCUGGCACAGUGACAGAGCCACAUAGGAGAGCUGCACAAAAACCCUCCCAGCCCUGCUGCAGGGGAUGGUACAGGCAUUAAAAAGGGCAGCAGCUCCUUGAAAGAGUAUUUGCGCUGCUUAAAUAUAUAACUCCCCUUAAAAGCUAAAUGUUUAUUUAAAGAGCUAAUUUAAAUAUCGCCCUUGGAUAAGAUAAUGGGCCUGAUCUUUAAUUAGAAAACUAUUAACACCUCUUUUCCUGGCGUCAGGGAUGACCUAUAUCGGUGUUGUGUGUGUGUGUGUGGGGGGGGGGGGGAAUCAUUUGUAGUAUAAUAAGUGUUAAAGGUAAGUACAAAUGUAGGCGAAGUGAACUAUUGUUGAAAAUACAAAUUGAGAUAAAAUUGGAAUGAAAAAUUUCCUUUACAUUUGGACAAUAUACUGUUAAGUUGCUCAUGCAUGCUGAAAUGGGGGUAAAAUAGGCGAGUUAAAAUGAGGAGGAAAUUGUUGGAAAUACCCAUUUUUGAGUAGUGGGGUAAAGCUGCAAUUACCAACUCUCCCAGAGUCAAAUCAAUGCUCUUAUUGUAGAGACAGUUGCCUUUUGGGGUAGAUUUGCUUGGAAACUAUUUAAUUGCAAGACACUAUUCCCGAGACGAUAUGCUGAGAACCAUGAACUCUUAACAUGACAAAGCGUCGCCAUUUGCUGGAGGAAAACAUAAAUACUGAUUGUCUUUUGAAACCCUUCUGUGCUCUAUAGGUGUUCGCUUAAACUGAGGCUGAGGGAAAAGGCAGCAGAUGAAAGACGAAAAUAAUUUAAAAUAAUUCUUUCAGGAGUUCUGACUGGGCAUUUCAUAGGAGGGUAACGGAGUUGGGCUCCUCAUCCCGUUACAUUUUUCUUGUGAUAGCCCCAGACAUUGAUUGCGGAUAAACAUAUUCAUGCCCCAUCCCAAUCAUACAUGAGUACGUCAAGAAAUCUCAGCAGUCCCUAUAAGAUCUUGGACCCCCCCCCUUUUUUUUUUUACAACUAGGGAAACUGAGGCAUGGUCACACAGAGUCUGUGGAGGGCGGAGCAGAUCUCUGAGUCCCAGAGCAGGCCCUUGCCCACAACCCCCCACCCCGAAGCACACUGAUAUGUCAGCUGCUGGCUGACCUGAACCUUCUGCGUUUUCUGGAUCUCCGAUGAAUUCCCCAGACUCCUCCCUCUUCCUUUCCGUGGGUUUCUAAUGAAUCUUCCACUGUUCUUGCUGCCCUCACAGGCGGGUCGUUUAUAUUCCUCUCAGGCAGCGGCAAUAGCUGGGCGUUUGAAACUGGGUCGCUAGAGAAGAUACUAUGGAGACGUGUUUUCUUCUCAGCAUUUGGAUAUUCAAUCUCCCAGGUAACUGAGCUGGGAUUUCAAAGAAGUCUAAGGGAAGGAGACAUUCAAUAAUCAUCAACCUAACCCUAUACCGAACCCGAACCCUAACUGUAACCCUUACCCUACCUCGUAACCAAAACGCACAUGCUACAACCUGACAGUUCACCCUCACCAUAACCCUAAACCCUUGUUCAUACCCUCGACUUAAUCCUAACGUUAAACUCCCAACCUUCUCCUGCUUACAGCAUUAAUUCCUAUAGAGUUAGGCGCCUAAAUCCCUUAAACGCCUUUGAAAUUCCGUGAAACACAAAUGCAGGUGGAAUAAUUCCCACGGCUCAACUACAGGUGAAAUGUCC